GUUGACCUUACAGCAAACCCUACAGUCAUUUCAUAAGAAAAACUACCGUCAACUG
rnacentral:other from 13 species